CUUUCUCAAAAGCCACGCAGUUUCUUUCUGUCCUUUGUUGCGAGUCUUCUCCUGUGUGUGGUUUCAGUUUCCCAGGGGAAAAAAAAGAAGGAAAAAGAAAAGGGAUAAAACCUGAAAAACAAAAAAAUAAAAAAGUCGUUAUCAAAAUCCUUUAAAGCUCUUUUCUAGCUUUGAUGAUCUGAUUGAUCGAACUCGUCGAUAAGCAUGGAACGAAUCGUCGGUGGCAAAUAUAAGCUCGGCCGUAAGAUCGGCAGUGGAUCUUUCGGUGAAAUUUUUCUUGCUACGCAUAUUGAUACGUUCGAGAUCGUCGCUGUUAAGAUGGAGAACAAUAAAACGAAGCAUCCGCAACUGCUUUACGAAGCAAAAUUGUACAAUAUUCUUCAAGGAGGAAGUGGAAUUCCAAGCAUAAAAUGGUCUGGUGUUAAUGGGGAAGAUAAUGUACUUGUUCUUGAUUUACUCGGACCUAGUCUCGAGGAUCUUUUUGUGUACUGUGGCAGGAAGUUUUCGCUGAAAACUGUCUUAAUGUUGGCUGAUCAAAUGAUUACAAGAAUUGAAUAUGUUCACGCCAAGGGAUUUCUUCAUAGAGACAUAAAGCCUGAUAACUUCCUAAUGGGACUUGGUCGCAAAGCAAAUCAGGUUUAUAUAAUUGAUUUUGGCCUUGCCAAAAGAUACCGAGACUCCACAACUAAUCGCCAUAUUCCUUACAGAGAAAACAAAAAUUUAACGGGGACUGCUCGUUAUGCAAGUUGCAAUACUCAUCUUGGAAUAGAGCAAAGUCGGCGGGAUGAUUUGGAGUCACUUGGCUAUGUGCUUUUAUAUUUUCUCAGAGGAAGUCUUCCAUGGCAAGGUUUGAAAGCUGCCACAAAGAAGCAGAAAUAUGAUAAAAUAUGUGAGAAGAAGUUGUCCACUCCUAUUGAGGUUCUAUGCAAGUCUCAUCCUGUGGAGUUUGCAUCAUACUUUCAUUAUUGCCAUUCAUUGACAUUUGAUCAACGUCCUGAUUAUGGGUUCCUGAAGCGUUUGUUCCGUGAUUUAUUUGCUCGUGAAGGUUAUGAGUUUGACUACAUAUUUGACUGGACAAUCAUCAAGUAUCAGCAGGCCCAGAAAACUAGAUCUCAGCCUCGAUUGUCUCCAGUUACUGGAGGUAGCAGCAGUCAUCCAUUACCUGUGGAUGUGGAUCAUCAUCAAGCAGGCUUCAAUGCCCCUUAUUCGACUGACGUCACAGAGCGCAUUAGAUCAAGUAAUGUUUCUGGUCCAGGUGUUCGCAUGCAAUUUAAAUCAGCAACAGGGAAGAACUUGAUUUCUGAUGCUACAGUUGACAAAAAUAUUUUUGACUCUCAUACACCCUCAUCGUCGUUUGCACCUGCUGGCACCUCAAAAAGAAAUGGUCAGAAAUUGCCCACUGAAGCUGCCAAUUCUGGCCACGGAAAUGGAAACAAAAUUGGACCUUCCAGUAGUUGGAUUUCAUCAUUGCAGCGCAUUUCGUCUGCCAAAUGAUGAAAAUGGAUGCAUUUCUGCCUACAGUACUGUUGGAAAGGUGGAAUAGGGAAUUACAAUUCAGGAAUGCAUACGAAGACCAUAAAACAUAUAUCUCUCUACAUGCUAACCAUGGAAGAUCUAGUAAUGGCUGCUAACUACUGACUGGUGAACAGUGAAGAAACCAUUUGUGGUUGGUAUCUUGUCUUGUAUCCUGAAUUCUGCAAAUAUCAACAGUGUACAUGCAGUAAAGCUCAGUUGUACAUUUGAUUUCAAGUUGAUUUUUGGAAUUGAUUGGUCUACUUCAAGGAGCACAUUACCUCAGACUGGAAUGUUGACAGGCAGUGUGCCAACAAUGUGUAACUAGUAACUACCCAGCUUGUCUUGUUAUGUAAAAAUUCUGAUAGAAGCUGUUCAGGAUAAUUAGAGAAGAUAGAAAGUCGACUACUGUUUGCAUUUGCUGUGGCUACUUGGGUACUGGAGAUCUGAAGAACUCUGUGGGGCAAAGCUGGACUUUGAGAUCAUUUUAUGUCGCGUUUGAAGUUUGGACCAGGUGGGGGAUAAACCAUUUCCUCUCAUCAGUUGUUGGUCUAGGAAUAGUCUUGCUUUUAUUGGUCUGUUGACACUUGUGUUAGUCAGGGCCCAACAUUUUGUGCAUCUGAAACCAGAUGACAGUAGCAUUGCUUCAAGCUGCUUCAGGUAUGUACAGCUCCUGACAUCCACUUCUGAGAAUUAUUCUAUUCCAGAAAGUGGUGCAAUUUAUGCCAUUAGUGGAGUUUGUGAAAUCUUAAGUUGGAUGAUCAGGAAUAAGCUGUUCCUUGCCCAAAUAACUGGGGGCUCCUUAGGAUAUAUUUUUGGUCUUCCUUGAAGAGCAAAGAGGAGUGAGGGGAGGAUGUCAGACCUGAAGGAGUAGGGUUGGUUCAGGAAAAGAUCUCGGAAACUAGUUGGAAGGCGGUUAGUCCUCCCGAAGUGGUAUUGGCAUGAUUAUUGAUAAGGGGGGACAUGCAAGCGUUGUGUUAUGGAUCUUCUGCCUGGAACAUCGGUAACCAAGUUAUUGGCUAUCAAAUGUGAAAUGGGUUUAUUAGUGCAAUCUUUUCGUGUGGUCUUUUCCUUUGUUCUUUUUGGGUGUUUCUUCGCUUCUGGACGUCCCAGGUUUUACUUGGCCGUUAAAAGCUAGGAAGCUGGGCACCGUCAACAUGUAAUAAUCUUGCAAUUGGAUAGGAAAGCAAGACAAAUAAAGAUUCCAGGGCCUUUCAAAACAGUCACGACUUUGCCCAGCACAAACCCAGGUUCCAUGCUGUCAGCGCCAACUAUUCCUGCCAAUAGUUUUGAGUUUCUUCCUGGUUUCCUGGUCGUGAAACAAGUUAUUCAAGCAUCCUUCAUCGUCUGAAACAUCAGGACGAAAACAAGCCAAUGACUGAGCGUCAGAGAAAUCUUCGAGCCCGAAUGAGUCAUCACUCGCUUUUUCCAGAAUCAAAGACUUUCUUCUCUUCUUAGCUCUAGAAUUUGCAAGAGCAUCAGUAGCCACACGCUUCGAGUUGCCGAAAUGGUCUUCCCGUCUGGAGCAGAAGGCUGUAAUGAAAUGGUUGGAACAAUCAAAGAUUACAUAUUGCUUCCUUUCACGAGGACACGACUUUGUAUCAUCUGAGUGUUCUCUUGCAGCCAUCUGUUUCUCUACUCCCUACUGAUUUGGAAAACACGAAGAAGAUGGUUCUCUCAUAUAUAAUAAAGUAAACUUUUGCACGAA